GGUAACUUCCCAAACAAUGAUAAUACCAAAAGAAAAUGACAAAAAAUGUGCAUUGCAAGGGAUUGCAUUGGCUUCAAUUUGAAGAGGCACAGAGAAGGUGAGGUUGCGGUUGAAGAAUUUUCAAGCCCAGAAGUACUUAAGUGGGGCCGAGCAACUGACUUCUUCGAUCUAGCCAUUGAAUCGAAGAAGUUCAAGAAGAAUUGUUGCUUUGGUGAUGUUGUGAUGAACUAAUUAACUGGUGCCACUACUACAAUAUUAAGCAACAUCAAUGCUUUGAUGGGCAUGAUUGCAACAAACGUGGGUACUUUCACUGUUUGAGUGGAAUUAGUGAGAUAAUGUCCACGAUUGCUUACCAAUGGCCAUUAAUAUACUUAUUCUAUUUCUAGCUAUCGACCUCUCUCUCCCUCCUCUCUUCUCUCUUCUCUGUUGUCAGUCCAUCACUUGCAUCUGCUUCUCUUCUCUUUGUGCUCAUUGAAACCAUCAUCCAAUGAAUCAAUCCUUCAAAUUGUUAAGCCUCAGUGUCUCGUCUUAGUUCUCAGCGGAUCUACCAAUUUUGUAUGAGUUUAUGCUUCUAAUCCAAGAUCCCCAAUUAUUUCAUUCAAAACCCUAAUCUCUCCCAAUCUCCCUUCAGCAGCUAUGGCCGCCGAAUUUACAGAGAGAGAGAGAGAGCAAUAGCAAUAGAAAUGGGUAAAGAGGAAGAAAAGGAGAUCGAGACGUAUUUUCAGAGACAUGACUGCAAGACUAAUGUGCAGUUGCGAAUAUAAAUCAGACUUUGAUUGCCUCUCACCUCCUCUCUCAACAUAAGGUGUGGUCAAACCAUCACAAUUAUGAAUUGAGUUUUUCAUUGUGAGGUAGACACUUGUGGGUUUAUUUACUGUUGUUUAUGAACAAAUUUUGAUGCUUUAGAUUGAAUUGGAUUUGGGUUUUUCUCCAAUAUAUUGUUUGAUUAGUUGUUCAUGGUCAGUGAUCAUUUGGCUCAUUAAUCAUUAUCCUUACUUUAUUGAAGGAGAAACGCGCAACAAUUUUUGUACAUGGCCGCUAUGAAAACCCAACAAUAGUGGUUCUUGAGGAGAAGAUCAGGUCCAGUAUCCAAUUCAUUUUAGUAUUCCAAAGCCUGCUUGUGGUUGGGGUAUGCUUAUAUGUUGAAUGUUUACUAAGGCUGAGCUUUGUUUUUGACCUUCUGUUGUUGAUGGCAUUGGUUUCAAGUGGUAGGCAUAUUGUGACAACAACAUAUUGCUAUAGGAAGGCUCGAUAUUUAUUGCGACCAUCCUUCCCAAAAUGGGGAUCAAGUAUUUAAUAAGCUACGCUCUUGUCAUUGUAGUCAAGAUUGAUGACUAGCAUUCGGGCUUUGAAAAGGUUCAUCAAUUGUGAACUGAUGCAUAAUGAAUCUCUGGAAACCCAAUUACACGGUAAAGUUGUUAUUUUGUUUUUUGGUUUUACGCUAAAAUGUGCACCCAUCUGUUAAGUCCAUUUUCUAUUCAAGUGUCGAUUUUUCAAUGGAUUAUAGACAUAAGAUGCUUGAACAUGGAAUUCUGCAUAUUGGUUGUGGAUAUUUGCUACUCAUCUUAUAUGCCUUAUAGUAAUAGUAUGCCAUUCAUUUUCUCUUGAAUCUAUUUCGUGUGCCUUACUUAGACAUAACAGAUGCUCUUUUUAAUACCUAUUUUUUGUGAUAGAACAGAUGCUCGAUUUAAUUUUCUAGUAGAUGUUGGUAUCUUUAAAUAUUCGUAAAGAUUUUUUAAAAGGUAAAGUAAGGUAUGCUAAUAGCAGUUGCUUCGAAUUUAGCUUUUUGUUCAGAUUCAUGCCUCUCGGUUACUAUCACUUGUGCUUAAUGCGUUUAUGUUUUUGGUAUUUAACCCCUGAUCUCUUGUGUUUAUUUGGUGAUAGCUACUCGAUCAUCAUGCAAGUUCAUAGUUGAAAAUUUCAGAGAAGAUUUUGUGAAGUUUCAAUUAGGUGCAGUGUUUUGUAUAGACAUUAAAUUGUUGAUAUACUCUUAAGGUAUUAAACCUCACUGGGGUUGACAACUUGUAAUAGGAACGAUUGAACAAUGUAAUUUUUCCCUUAAUAUGAGGUAUGAAGAAAGUACAAAUUCCAAAA